GUCUACGGCCAUGCCACCCUGAACAAGCCUGAUAUUUGAUCUUGGAAGUUAAGCAGGGUCAGGCCUGGUUAGUCAUUGGAUGAGAGACCACCUAGGAAGACCAGGUGCUGUAGGCA
rnacentral:rRNA from 1 species